rnacentral:rRNA from 1 species
AACGAACGCUGGCGGCAUGCCUAACACAUGCAAGUCGAACGAGACCUUCGGGUCUAGUGGCGCACGGGUGCGUAACGCGUGGGAACCUGCCCUUAGGUUCGGCAUAACUCCCCGAAUGGGGUGCUAAUACCGGAUAAUGUCUUCGGACCAAAGAUUUAUCGCCUUUGGAUGGGCCCGCGUUGGAUUAGCUAGUUGGUAGGGUAAAAGCCUACCAAGGGGAAGAUCCAUAGCUGGUAUGAGAGGAUGGUCAGCCACACUGGGACUGGGACACGGCCCAGACUCUGACGGGAGGCAGCAGGGGUGAAUAUGGGACGAUGGGCGAAAGACUGAGCCAGCAAUGCCGCGUAAGUGAUGAAGGCGUGAGGGUGGUAAAGCUCUUUUACCCGGGAUGAUAAUAACAGUACCGGAAGAAUAAGCUCCGGCUAACUCCGU